CAAUAGCGUAUAUUAAAGUUGUUGCAGUUAAAAAGCUCGUAGUUGGAUUUCUGGUGGGAGCGAUCGGUCUGGCGCUUAGCGCGAGUACUUGCAUCGUCUCCGGCCAUCCUUGGGGAGAGUCUGUCUGGCAUUAGGUUGUCGGGCAGAGGAUCCUCAUCGUUUACUGUGAAAAAAUUAGAGUGUUCAAAGCAGGCUUAUGCCGUUGAAUAUAUUAGCAUGGAAUAAUAAGAUAGGACUUUGGUACUAUUUUGUUGGUUUGCGCACCAAAGUAAUGAUUAAUAGGGACAGUUGGGGGUAUUCGUAUUCCGUUGUCAGAGGUGAAAUUCUUGGAUUUACGGAAGACGAACUACUGCGAAAGCGUCUGCCAAGGAUGUUUUCAUUGA
rnacentral:rRNA from 1 species